GAUACCGGAUUUUGUUAGAUUACAUUUUACAUUACAAUGGAAAAAGUGUAUUUAACUGAUAUAUGGUUUCGACAGUGAACCAAUUUGCAGCAGCAAAUUAAAUUACUAAUUAAAAUCGCUCAUAUUCCGCCCAUCUAAAUACAGCCAAAGGAAAAGGGGCAGGAGUAAAUUAAAUUUAUUUCUGUUUAGAACAGUUCAGUGCUUGGGAAAUUAAAUCUUCGUAACACGAGAGCCCGCCACACAGUGGUAAUUGAUAUUCAAAUUAAUUUUACUGCAAACGCAUUGCGUAUACGAGAUGUGGCCCAUGCCAUUUACCAGGCCUGAAUUCUUUCAGGGGGCAUUUGCAAUUUAAAUUCCAGCGCAAACUUUCGAAACUUAUUCCCUGCUCGAAGCAGAAAUCAUAAUGUGAAAACAAGAAUCCGAAUGCUCUUAUGCCGUUCGCAGGCUCCCCAUUUUGACAAAGUUGUCAGUUUUAGGCACCGAUUUCGUCGACCAUCACGUAUACGCACAGUUGGCAGGAACAUGGGCUCUACGCAACUUGUGCUCCCAGCAACAGGCGCACAAAGGCAGUGCACUCAUAUUGAAAUGCGGAAUUUAAUAAGUUCGGACCUACGGAGCAAUUUGCUUGAUGUUCCGAGUUUUGCUGGAUUUCUGGCACAUCAAUGGCCGGUGGUCAUGGCUACUGUGGCAGCCACCUGUAAUAAGGAUUUAUGCUGCAAUCAAGAUGCUUUGCAGCUGCACUAGACAUAAGCCCUUUCAAGAAGCCAACCAUUGUGGUGCGCUCUCUAAUUGAAAUUUUCUUGCCUUUGGCUUAUCGCACCAGCAACACAGCAGGACUACGAAAAGGGAAGCCAACUGUUUAACGGCUGAGAAAUAUUUAUAAAAGCAGGCAUGUGCCCUGCUGAUAACAGCUGGCCACCACGUCGUACGCUUAACGCACUCGAAUGUGCGGCGAGUAUUCGAUUAAAUGGGUAACUUAAUAUAUUCCUAAUUGAUCGAUGGCCUAGACCCGCCCCAGCCCCGAAACCCAAUGCUAAUUGUGAAUAUCAGGUUUGGUUUUAACCUCAGAUUGCACCCACUCAACACUCGCACUGCGCCACACCUGGGGAUGAGCCGAUGGAUGCCGAGUGGGUUGCACCCACGCUCCCGUGUGAGAUUCAUAUUCAUAAUCGGCUAACUGGACCGCUGACUCCGGUCAACUCAAGCUCAUUAAGUGCCAUCACUUUGCGUGAUUAACUAAUUCGAAUGUCGCAGAUGUGUCGUGUGGUGGUAGCUGCCUCCUGGGCCAUAACAAAUGUCGAACACGCGUAAACAAGAGUAGCGCCAUUAGUCAAAGUGAUUUAUACGUAUGCAGAUCGAGGAAGCGAAUCUUUGGGCCCACCUAAUGCCGCUGGCCAAUUUAAAUACGUCCAGUUACACUGGCUAAUUAAAAGGGUGAGUCGCCGAGAGAUAUGCAAAUGGCACUGCGUUGACAUUUCCAUCAUUAUGGGUUCUCUUUGUGAAUCCAUAAAUACACGAAUUGGCACACUCACACCCACGCUGGCGGGCAAACCCGUUUGGAAAACAAAAACUAGUUUUUGUGACACACUACCGACCAACAAACUACCGACCACCGACCACCGACUGCCGACGAACAACCCGAUCCCAGUUCCAGUUCCAGUUUCGAUCCCAGUCCACUCCGGCAGCCAGCGGCUUUGAGCGGAGCUUAGGCCAAGUUUAAUGGGCAUGUACACUUAUAGUGCAUAUCCAUUUCUGAGCCUCAAUGCACACACACUACAGCCUGCGGUGUGUAACAUUGGCACGAAGCUAGCAUUUCACUGCUUCUGCCUUUCCAUCCCCUUUCCAUUCCGUUUCCAUUCAGUUUCCAUCCCGUUUCCACCGCCCUUCCAGACGAACUUCCCUCCUCCGUCUCGGCCGUAACCUGUUCGUCCGCCAUGGCGUAUACGUGAUAAUUAAAUCGUGCCUGUGCUGUGGGUGCAUUUACUAAAGCCACCCACUUGGUAGGCUUAAAAGUGUGUUAAUCAAGAUGUGUUCAGGGUCUUUAGUUUCGGGAGUGUGGGAGGUGUAGAACAAACAGAAUGCAGCAUUAUUUCAAUUAUUGCAAACGAGAGACUUACAACAUGUAACAUGACGCAUUUCUGAAUUAAAUGGUACUGAUGAUAUUAAAUACAAACAUCUGUAUUCUACUCAAAGAACCAAACCAGCCUGCAAAUGAAAUUUGACUAAUUCCCAUUGCUUACAUGCCAUUCAACUCAUUAUUUUCCAUUUUGCGGCUUUUGCUUCUGCGAAUUUUGAAGACAACAACAAAUCCAAAAUCACCGGAAACGGAUACACUUCAGCAUGCAUAAAAAGGCUCAUAAAAAAGUGAGUGAGAACAGGGUGCCCGCCUGAAAGCAAAAAGGGGGGCAGUGGCCCCAAUCAAUUCGCUGCUGGCCGAAGACUUUCCGCGCCAACUGUUAACGUGCGAGAUCAUGGAGCGUGGCGAUUAAAUCAAAGAUAAUGCCUGCAGUGGGGCGUGAGAAGUGGUUGCUCUGCGAAGUGUUCACUGUACGGUGCGACUGGCGAACUGGCAAUUUGUAUCUGCCGGAUGCACGAGUGAACGCAACUCUUUACGCUCUUGGGCUUAUGUUAAUCGCGGGCAAUUAAUUGCUGUAAACCUAUUCUGAUUUCCUUCGCACUGCGCCAGCACAAAUUUCAGCUCCGCCCAAAUGAGUCUGCACAACUCAUUGUCUUCUGCGGGCCGCAGAACACAGAAAGCGCUGAGUGUCAACACGGCCCCAAACAGAUUAAAACAAAAGCUGGUAAACAGGCAAAUAAAUUAGCAUAAAUGGUAGAAUGCCAGCGAGCGAGACGGCAACAGCGCGCCGAAAGAGACGGCUAGAGGGCGAGAUAGGGGGCUCCAAACAAUAGGCGAGUAAACAAGUAAAGUGGAAAAAACGUCAGGUGUUAUAGAAAUGCAAACUGAAAACAAUGACAGCAAACAAAAUCUAUGAAAAUGCGAGGCGUGGAAAACAAUAAUAAAAUAAUAAGCCUGAAAAGUGAGCCCGAGUGCCAAAUACCCACUCUCUUCGUGGCUUUUCAUUUGCAGUUGUAGGAAAGGCUUCAAACAUGAGUAGAAUGUGGCCAAUGCCGGUUAGGUUUCCCACUUGAUAAGAAAAUAAACGCCUGAAAGAUUGAUCAAAGUAGGUUUCCCAUGCCUGAUUACCAUAACUCGUUAGUCUGCGGAGUCUGUGAGAAGAAAGUCGACGCAGCGCUUUAUAGUUAGAACUAUGAAAAUGAAGCACGCCAGCUUAAGCUCCUCCAAAUGGGUCAAUUACUAUACUCCGCCAGAUCGCCCAGAUCGGAAUAUAGCCGCCAUAUAGCUUAUCACCGCCGUGCACCUGAGCACUACUCGUGUGCCAUGAGAAUCGGAAUCGAGUGACUGCCGAGGACUGCUCACUUACACUGCUCGCAAAACCAGGUGCUUGGCUGUGUGCGUAGAUAAAGCGACUUGUCUAGACGUUAUAAACUAUUUUCUAUAGUUCGUGACACACGAGCACGCAUACCCAUACACAUACACACUCGCCCAUCUGAACGUGCCAGUAUGGGUGAUGUGUUUUCGCGAGCUGCACUUACAGUGGGGCAUACUUAAUUAAUCCGGCAAAGUGGAAGCGAAACAAUCAAGCUGGCAUCGCCUGAUUUGCAUAUACAUGGCUGAAUAAUAGGUGCAAAUAACUCGUAUAACUAUCACACUCUAGAUACUCCUGCAUUCAAGAUACUCUCAAGAGAACAAGCUCUUCUUCUAACUUAGAUAUGAAAUAUGAAAUCCCCUGGGGCAGAUAUCCAUAUCCACCUUAGUACACACACAUAGUAUACGUGUGUACUUAAAUCACUUGUGCGUGUUUUUCUCGGUUCGCGUGGAAGGCGGUACGUGUUUUUCCAACCUCGGAUACCUAAAUAAAAAAAAAUAAAAGCUGUCUGGCACUCGAAGCGACACUUUGUCUGCUGAUAAAGUGCAACAACACGGCCAACUGCUAAACGGCGAAUUGCAAACGGCAAAUGGCAAACAAUCAUGACAAAUUAUUAGGUCUGUGUGUCUGCACAUUGUGUCUUUGUGCCAAUUAAUUUAUAUGGUAUACGAGAUAACGCCUCGCGAUAGGAAACCCUUUGAAUAAUGGGCACAUCGAAGCGCGCAGAUCGUUCAGUUAAUAAAUUUUCAUUUGGGUUAACGAACUCGCAAACAAAAGCCUAAAAUUCUCAGAUCUCUAAUAUUAGGCGCCUAAAAUUAGCGAAUAGUUUGCGUACAUUUAUACACUCGUGCCAACGAUUUAUGUGCAAAAUAUAAAGCAGACUAUAAA